UUUUGUUUUGAAUUGUUAUUUUACAUUUGCCAGAGCUAUACGUUCCUCCGCCACAUAAAUCACAAGGAGUAACCGAACAAAACGGUACUUUUAAAAGCAAACGACAAGAAUAGGAAAAAUGUAAGAAAGCGCGCGGUCUUUUUCGUUUCUUUUGCAUUUCUCGCCACUUGCAUUUUGAUUUUCAAUUGAAAUAGCUGGUGCCUCUGAGAUUUGUGAAAAUAAUAUUUUCUUUGCGGCUUUAAUUUUCAAAAAAACUUUUUCAAAACAGAAGACUGGUCAUUUCAUACGACGCAUUUGGACACAAAAAAACGGACCGCGGAAGGUCCACCGUUCUCACAGCAGCAGGUCCAUGCACUUCGUGUGCGUUCGGGUUUUUUACUCUCUCAUUCUUAUUCUCAUUUUUAUGCUCGCGCACUCAUUGCACGAGUUCAGUCGUUCAGUCGCAGAGAGGCGCUUUUUGAAGAAGGCUGCCCUGCGCUUGAAUUCGUCUUUGUAUGUAUGCGUGAUCAUGCAUUCUCAUACACGGGAGCAUGUGUGCGUUAAUUUCAUUUCGGCGCAUCAAGAAUAUUUUGUCUUUUGCGUAUUCUUUAAACAAGUAAUAAAUAAUAAAAUACUUUUAAUAUUUUUGAAAAGGUAAAUGGAACAAAUAUAAAAAUCCACAUUUUUUUAAUGAUAAUAAUUUAUUUUAAUGAUAAUAAUUUUAGAUUUUAAUUGUACCAAUAUCUUGAAUUAUAACGAAUUGUUUAAAGACAAUUAAAAUAACAAGACAAUUAAAUAACGAAUCAUUAAAAAAUAAAUCAACCAUUUACAUUUUCAAAAAUAUUAAAAGUAUUUUAUUAUUUAUUACUUGUUUAAAGACAAUUAAAAUAACACUGCGAAUCAUUAAAAAAUAAAUCAACCAAAGAUCACUAAACAUAACAUUUAAAACAAGUGUCCUAAAAGCCCGCUCCCCUUAAAAGCAAUCGUCGGUAGGGUAUGCAGGCACCAACCGCUCGCAAAACAUCGACAAAAACUGAUUUAGUUUGAAGUUUUCUCAACCACUGAAGAGCAGUCGGUGUUUCAAGUGACACGACUGCGAUAUGCCCUGUUCCCAUCUCAGUGCACUGAUUUCUAUAAAUUCGAAUACAUACAUAUAUGUAAAACAUUUUACCGCUACCACUGAUUAGAAUUUGUAAACAAAA